UAGGUAUUAUUACGUGGUUAUCGACCUUUGAUUCCUUUCAGUGCAGUUUAAAGUUCCGAAAAUUACUUUUCUUGAUUUGAUACUGUGAAGAUAUCAUAACUAUAUCCAUGAUAUCUGUCAUCAAUGACUAAGAGAUGUCAAAUAAUGAAAACCAAAGUGAUACAAGCUACAAAUUAUGAAUGUCAGCCUGGUGGGAGAACGAAUGAUAAACCUUAUAAAUGUCAUGUAUGUGGCAACAGGUUUUGUCAAAAGUGGACCCUAAGAAGACACAUGGGAAAUGUACAUACUGAUGAUAAACCGUUUAAAUGUGACGUAUGCGGACAACAAUUUAUGCAUAGCUUUAUCUUAAAGAAUCACAAGAGAACACAUACUCUAAGUGUUAAUCCUGUUAAAUGCGAAGUAUGUAAUAAAAGGUUUAGUUCAAGUCAGGCUUUAGACACGCACUUUAGAAUACAUACUGGUGACGAACCUUACACUUGUGAUGUAUGUGGUAAAGGCUUUAGUGACUGCAGUUCCUAUAAUAGACACACAAGAACUCAUACUGGAGAAAAACCUUACAUAUGUCAUGUAUGUGGUAAAGGGUUUAGUGACAACAGUCACUUUCAUAGACACAUGAGAAUUCAUACUGGUGAAAAACAUUACAAAUGUGAUGUCUGUGGUAAAGAGUUUGGCCGCAACAGUUCUUGUCUUAGACACAUGAGAACUCAUACUGGUGACGAACCUUACAAAUGCGAUGUAUGUGGUAAAGGGUUUAGUGACAAAAGCAAUUUUCAUAAACACAGAAGUCAAUGUUUGUAAUUAACAAGUUUAAGCGUCUUCUGUGUAAAUGGACAUACAUUCACAAGGAAACGCACACUGCUGAAAAACAUUGUAAAUGUGGUGUAUAUAUUAAAUCUGGGAAAUAGUAUAUAUAUAUUAGUAUAAUAGUCCCAGAUUAAAUUGAUAAGCAAAAGAGACCAUUUACAGACUGAGACAAAUGAGAACACACAUGUAUAUUGACGAUAAAAUUUGACCAAUGAGAACACACAUGUAUAUUGACGAUAAAACAUGACCAAUGAGAACACACAUGUAUAUGGGUCAUUAUAAAAAAAGAUGCAUAUUUUGAUAAGGGAAAUUUCGGAAAACUGAUGUCAUUGUUUUAAAAAUUUUAAUAUGUCCAGCUAUUCUGAAAUAUGGUAGCAGCUAUAUUCAGAAAUAUGCAAUGGGCAAAAUUAGGAGUUCCUUCAAUUUUAACAAUUUUAGGUCAUCCUUUGAUAAAAUCAUGUCAAUGGUGUUACCAAUAUAAAAACAUGCAUUUAGUGAAUAACAAAUAUUUUUAAAUACCAAACAACUGUUCCAAUUUGUUAAAAUUACUACUUAUUGACAUUAUUUUUAUAGGUAUGCAUUCUAUUUGAACAUAAAUUUCAGAAUAAAUUGU